AUUCGGAUGCAAGUGAGCAUCAAUGAAAGGAAAGUUCAAAAUACUGUUCAUUCAAAUGCAACUGCAGAAUAUUUCACAACAUAUGUAGUACGUCUAAGAGCAAAAUAGUACUAAAUACAGCUCAUUUGAGCAUAGAAAAGGACUUGUACUUUGAGACAAUCAUAAUCAUAAGAAUAUAUAUGUAACACCUUUACCCUCCUCCUUUUCCUUCCUCCCUUCCUUCUCCCUCUCCCCGUCGACUGUCUUCUUCCCCGCACCGCCUACGUGCCGCCCAGCUCGCCGCCGCCGUCGCCAGCGCCUUCCUCCCUUCCCGCCGCUCUGCAGCAGCUCCCUUCCCCUUUCCUCCUUUCCGUCGGCGUUGUCAAGAACAAGGGGGGGCUGCCUUCGCCGCUCGCCCUCUUGCCGGCAUGUUUUCGGAGAUCUGGCAUCGGAAAUGAGUUCCUCACCCCCGAAAACCCCGGAAGCAACCCUCCUCCGUCGGAAAUCCUUGCCGGCAGCCUUGGAAAGUGUCGCGUGAGCAGCGACUUUCCGGCCCCGAUCCGCCGCCUUCCGGCCACUUUCCGGCCAAAACUCUUGUACUUCCGGACUCCCCGCAACUUGAGCUUCGCGUAGGCGCUUCCGGAUUUGAAUUCCGACACUGUUGGCAGGACCGGCUUCCGGACCCCGGUGUUUUCUGGACGCGCGAAAUAUUUUAAUUUUUAACUCGAUAAUUCAGCCUUCCCGCCAGCUCCACCCGAGGCGUAGGAGCGGACUGCGGAACGCGUUAAAUCAGUGUUAGUUAAAGACCUUCGCCAUCGCACAUUCGACAGUCCGACUUCUUCUUCUUCGGACUUUUGUAAUUAACUUGUACUUAUAUACUUGUCAUUUUUACUCUAGAGAAUCCGCAGUAGGAAAUUUUUAAAUUUAUAUAACUAUUCUGACUCCUGUUGGUAGUAUGAUGAUGUAUUAUGCAAGAUAAUUAUGACUACUUUAUAUUUGGUUAAUUGUAUAUAUGGAUUUGCGGGUUGGUAAGGCUUA